rnacentral:misc_RNA from 1 species
GGUCCGUGACACUCGAAGUUUGACACUUGACAGGCCCUCGAAGCCGGCGUCCGCUCCCACUCCCUAGUCGUUACUGACUUGAUGUCGAAAUUGGUUUACUGACCGGCGAGCGGGAUGGGAUUCGGUCUUCAGCUCAAGCUCAUCGUUUGGAAGAACACGGUCACAAGGAAGCGAAACAAGUUUAGACUCGUCGUCGAGCUGAUAUGGCCUUUGCUCCUUUUCCUCAUUUUAAUGUGGGUCCGAACGAGAGGAUUGCAAACAAGAAUCGAAGAAUGCCAUCUCACUGAAAAACCAAUGCCUUCAACUGGGUUCUUUCCUUUUAUUCAAAGUUUUAUUUGUACUGCCAACAAUACUUGUUUUCCCGAUGAAGAAUCUGCUAAAACUUUUUUUCCAACCAUUAACGAAGAGACAAUAACCCAACUGUUAAAUGAAAUUAUGAAAAUUUUAGACAGCGCUCCAAAUGGUACAUUGACUAAACACUUUGAACGUGUAAGCAAAAAUUCGGAACGUUUUUUAUAUGCAAUUAAGAAAAUUGCAAAAGAUGAUGACAGUGUUGAAAGUAGAAUGCUGGUUUUAAGGAAUUUAUUAAAAAAUCCUGAUAAUUUAUAUGAAACAUUAAAAACUGAUAGAGUGACGAUCAAUAAGGAAAUAGUUGACAUGAUGUUAGAUGCUGACCUAAAGACUGAUUCUAAUUUAGUUCAUCUAAUUUUCAACAAUGAUACACCUAAACACUGCUCUUUCAGUGGUGAUGAAUUAUCCAGUAAUAUUGAUGAAGUAUUGUGUAAUUUGAGCAGAGCACAGCUAUACAGAAUAAAAUCAAAUAUUGAUGAAAUGUGGAAUUCUUUUUAUGCAAAACCAAAGGUUGAGAAAUACAUAAAAUUUAAUUUAACUUCUUUUGCAUCUGUUGACAAUUGGAUGGCAUUAGAUGAGGUCAUAGAUUCAUUUGAGAAAAUUACUCACAAUACAAGACUGACAGACAGGUUAUAUGAACAAAAUGUAGUAAAUUCUAAUCAAGAUAACCAAAUAGAAAACCCAGACUUAUUAGGCAACAGUACACUCUUUAAAAUUUAUUCACUAGUGUUUAAAUAUUUGUGUGGAGUAAAAGGUGGACUACAAAAAAUUAGUACAGGAAUAAUUCAAGACAAUCCAAAACAAAUAGAAAAUAUGCAGAAAAUGUUUUUUGACAAUGCCUUCAUUAACUACCAAUAUGAUAACUAUACAACACCCGAAUGCAAUGAUAUUUUCAAAGCAAUUGAAAGGAACCCUCUGGGAAGAAUCAUUUGGAGACUUUACAAACCAUUUUUAUGUGGCCAAAUUCUUUAUUACCCUGAUACGCCUGUCGUUAGACGAGUGAUGCAAAGGGUUAAUAUGACUUUUGUAAAGAUAGGGGAUGCAAUAAACACACUUAUUACUCUUGGAACACUAGAUCCUAAUGUAGAAACAAAUCGCAUUCUUAGUUCAAUUCAAAAUUAUUUUGGAUCAGAUAAGGGGCAGACCCUGUUUGAUAAUGAAUCGGACUCCAAUGUACUUGAAGAUGACUUAGAAAGAAUAGCUAAAUUAUUAGAAUGGACAAUCGAUUCUUUUGAGUCAAAAUACAAUUUGGAAAACAUAGGAAGAAACUUAUCUUCAUUUGACUCUUUUUUAAAGUGCAUUGAAAGAAACAAAAUCAGGCCAUAUAAAGACUUGAAGAAAGCAGAGAAGGAUGGAGAGGAUUUGAUCUUGUUUGAUCGACUUUGGGCAUUGGUAGAAUUUAUUUCUCCUGGACAGAAUGAACUUUCACCUUUAACUACUUAUAAGAUACGAAUGAGCCCAGAUAAAGUUGAUAACACAGAAUACAUAACUGACAGGAUAGACACACCUGGUGGUAGGGUAAGACCAACUUAUGAUCUAAAGUAUAUCACACACGGAUUCAUUUACCUUCAAGAUUUAUUGGAUCAUAGUAUUAUAUAUGAGAAAACAAAAUAUGAAAAAAUACCUGGUGCCAUUCUACAUCAACUUCCUUACCCUUGUCACAUUGAUGAUGAAUUCAUAGGUGCAGUUUCUAGAACUUUUCCUUUGUUUAUGGUCCUUGCUUGGAUUUAUACAACAUCAAUGAUUGUCAAGUCAAUAGUGCACGAGAAAGAACUUAGAUUAAAAGAGACGAUGAGAGUGAUGGGUUUAGGAAAUGGAAUUCAUUGGGUCGGCUGGACAAUAGACAGUCUGGUACCAAUGCUAUUUACCAUUGCCAUUCUCUCCAUAAUACUUGUUUAUGGGCGAAUUUUGACCUUCAGCAAUCCAAUGGUAGUUUUCAUAUUUCUACUUGCAUACAGCUUAGCAACAGUUGCUCAAGCAUUUCUGAUAUCUGUAUUCUUUGGGAAAGCCAAUUUAGCUGCUGCUUGCGCAGGAAUCAUCCAUUUUAUUCUUUACAUGCCAUAUGCUCUUUUGGCUCGUUGGUUUCCACUUUUGUCUACCUCCUCAAAAAUUUUGAUGUCUUUAUCAUCUAACGUUGCUCUUGGACUUGGUGCUGCUUAUUUUGCUCAGUAUGAAGAGUCUGCUGUUGGAAUGCAUUGGAGUAACAUCAACAAAAGUCCAAUGAUUGGAGACCAAUACAAUAUGCUGUAUAUUAUUUACAUGCUAUUAUUAGAUGCAGUACUUUACAUGAUUUUGACAUGGUACAUUGAAACAGUGAGACCAGGGGAGUAUGGCAUACCUAAGCCCUGGAACUUCCCAUUUACACUUUCAUAUUGGACUGGAGUAUAUCCAACAAAGAUAAACACUAAUGCAGAAAACUUAAAUGAUAUUAAUGAAACCAGAGAAGAUGGACCGUCUAGCCUGAUAAGUGGUGUUAAAAUAAUCAAUUUAUCCAAGGUGUAUCCCAAUGGAAAAAAAGCUAUUGAUAAUAUUUCUGUUGCAUUUUAUGAAGGUCAGAUUACUUCUUUCCUCGGCCAUAAUGGGGCUGGAAAAACAACUACCAUUUCCAUUUUGACAGGCUUAUUGCCUCCAACAUCAGGAACAGCUUUGAUAAAUGGAAAUAAUAUUCUAACUGAUAUGUACAGAGUACGAAAAAAUUUGGGAGUAUGCCCACAGCACAACAUUCUUUUCCACAGGCUGACAAUUAAAGAGCAUUUAUGGUUUUAUGGAAUGCUCAGAGGUGGGAAGAAAGGAAAUUUACUUCAUCAUGAGAUUGAACAGAUGCUCUUAGACUUGAACUUAGCUGACAAAAGUGAUGCUUACUCCACUGACCUUUCAGGUGGCAUGCAACGAAAACUUUCAAUAGCUGUGGCUUUUAUAGGAGGUUCAAAGACUGUCAUUUUGGAUGAGCCAACUUCUGGCGUUGAUCCUUAUUCGAGGCGUUCUAUUUGGGAGUUGCUAAUAAAAUACAAAAAAGGUCGAACGUUGAUUCUAACAACACAUUACAUGGACGAAGCAGACCUACUUGGUGACCGGAUUGCCAUUAUAGCUCAAGGCAGGCUAGUUUGUGUUGGAUCGGGUGUUUUUCUAAAAAGCCAGCUUGGAAAAGGAUAUAAUCUAACUGUUGAAUUGGCAUUGAAUACUCCAACAUUAGUACCCAAGACAGAUUUGAAUUCAGAAAGCGAUGUAUCCAUUUCUUCUGAAACAAACAUUAAAAAUAUAACAGAUUUUAUUCAACAUGUGAUACCAAAUGCAACUAUUGUGGAUCAAAUUGGACAAGAAGUUAUUUACAAUCUCCCAAGUAAAAACCCAUCACAAUUAUCUCGACUGUGUUCAAUGAUUGAUUCAGAGAUGGACAGAUUGCACAUAGUGUCUUAUGGAAUUUCAGAUUCUUCUUUAGAAGAAAUAUUUUUGUCUGUAGCGACCGACCAAGAGAAAAAUGAUUCCACAACAACAGGUUGCUGCUGUUUCAAAAAGUCCUUAUCUGUAGAAAGUGCGGAUAUUGGUAAAUAUUCACAUUCCACUGUUCAAAGUAAAACAGAACCAAAGGAGAUCCGUGUCCAAGUUAAUGGUACAAAUGUGAAGUAUUCUGCAGUAACAGUGGUUAAAACCCACGAAGAACAAGUAGAGAAGAGACAGUCAAAAUUGUGGAAACAGUUUAUUGCCUUGCACACUAAAAGGUUCCUUCACAAUAAAAGGAAUUUGAAGGCUUUGUUUUCAGAACUCAUACUCCCCGCUCUUUUGGUCUGUGCAGCAAUGUUAGUUUUAUCUAUCUUACCAUCUUUUAGGCAUAGGCCAGAAUUAGAAUUGACUCCAUGGAAAUAUACCCAGCCAUUAGUGUUUUUUCUGAGUGCUGAUCACAGUGGUAAUGACAUGGAUUUAUUUGUAAAUGAAAUUGAUGGAUCCUUUGGCCUUGGCACAUCUUGUUUACCAGCUGACUACAAUGUCACCCACACCAAGUGCUCUGUAGCGUCAGGACCAAUUCCAUCUCUGUUCAAUUUGAGUCGCCCAAGAGUAACAAAAUGUUCUUGUAAAACUGGUGCUCAAGUCUGUCCAUAUAGAAUUGAUGAUUCGUUACCUUCCAUAGUGUUAACCUCUCAUGACAUAUUACGCUUUGUCAAUUUAUCAGAUUUGAGUGACUGGAUUAUAAAUACUUGGCCUAAAUAUAAAAACCAAAGAGUGGGUGGGUAUACAUUAAAUGCCAACCUAGUGACACAAUCGAUUGAUUUGAAAAAAAUUCCCUUUCACAACGUUCCUUUUCAAUUCAAGCUUUUAUUUGAAUAUUUGAAAAAUUAUCUACCUGAAAAAUCAAUUUCUACUGAUAAUAAUAUAAAGGUUUGGUUCAACAAUAAGAACUGGAUUGCCUCAGUCGCUAACCUAAAUGCUAUUAAUAAUGUUAUCUUGAGAGCAUUGAUGAACUCAAGUAAGUCUGGUGAACAUGGUAUCAGAACAAUUAAUCAUCCGUUGAAGUUCAAUGAAAAACAAAAAUAUGCUGAAUUGUUACGAAAUGGAAUUGGUAUAAUUUUAAUGGCAAUUGCAGUCAUAUUUGCCUUAAGUUUUGUCACAGCUUCAUUCUGUCUAUAUUUAAUUGAAGAAAGGAAGUCAAAUUCUAAACAUCUGCAACUGGUUUCUGGUGUCAAUAGGCUUAUAUAUUGGUUUGAAGCAUUUGUUUGGGACAUGUGUGCUUUUUCUUUGUCUGUUAUUUUGUGCAUACUGGUGUUUUUAAUAUUUAAUGAACAAGCAUUCAUAGCACCAGACCGCUUCCCAGGAGUUCUCUCUUUGAUGUUACUUUUUGGAUGGUCGUGUAUCCCUCUAAUGUACCCAGCAAGCUUUUUUUUUGACAUUCCAAGUUCAGCGUUUGUCUCUCUUUCUUGUGUAAAUAUGUUCAUUGGCGUUAUCACAACAGUCACGACCACUGUCCUCUCUUUCUUUGAUGAUGAGGAACUUAAGCGAAUAGGAAAAAUAAUUGGACAGGUAUUUAUGAUAUUUCCACAUUUCUGUCUCGGCGAUGGGCUUAUGAAGCUCUCAAGCAGCUAUAUCACAUCAGCACUAUUGUUAGACCUAGAUAUUGUGUACGAACAAAGUGUUUUCAGCUGGGGUUUUCUUGGUAAAAAUCUUGUAUGUAUGUUUUUCUUGGGAAUUCUGUUCAUGUUAAUUACUCUUGCAAUUGAGUAUAGAAUACACAGGCUUUGGAAGAAAUCUUACAAGCACAAUAUCAAGGCACAGAUUACUGGUGAAGAAGAUGAUGUCGCUGCAGAGAGAAGAAGAAUUAACAACAGUUCAACUUCAGAUGAUGUAUUAGUUAUAAAAGAUCUUGUUAAGAUUUAUCCCAGAAAGGUGACACCUUCAGUAAAUCAGAUAUGUGUUGGUAUAAAAAAAGGUGAAUGUUUUGGCCUUCUUGGACUUAAUGGAGCUGGGAAGACAACAACAUUCAAGAUGCUCACGGGAGAUAUUGACCCAAGUUUUGGCACAGCAACUAUUCUAGGAUAUGACAUAACAAAAGAAAUAGAUAAAGCAAGAUCUGUUCUUGGUUACUGCCCACAGUUUGAUGCUUUAGAUCCACUACUCACACCUUAUGAACAUUUGAUCUUAUAUGGGAGAAUCAGAAAUUUGAACUCGUAUAUCCUUCAAGCAGUAAGAGAGUCGAUAGUUUAAUUAAGAGAAUGGGCUUAGGAUUUUAUAGACAUCGACUUGCGGGUUCACUUUCUGGAGGUAACAAAAGAAAGCUCUCUACGGCCAUUGCCCUGAUUGGUAAUCCACCUCUUGUAUUCUUGGAUGAACCAACAACAGGAAUGGAUCCAAAAGCAAAACGUUUCUUAUGGAAAUGCAUCCAGGAAAUUGUAAGAGAAGGAGGAUGUAUACUUUUGACAUCACACAGCAUGGAAGAAUGCCAGGCUCUUUGUACAAGGCUAACGAUUAUGGUUAAUGGGCAGUUUAAAUGCUUGGGGUCAUCCCAGCAUUUGAAGAACAAGUAUGGUGGUGGCUACCUCAUUAUAUUAAGAUGCCAUGAAGAUGAUAUGGAAAAAGCCAAAACUUUUAUGGUGACCAAUUUACCGAAGUCAAAGAUGGUUGAAGCUCAUUAUAAUCAAAUUCGCUAUGAAGUCAAGGAUAUACAAGUUACUACAUUGUUUUCUGUUAUGGAAAGGGCUAAAGAAAAGAAAAUAAUUACAG